rnacentral:SRP_RNA from 1 species
AUCCAGGAGCUUUAAUAAUGGGUUUCGCCCAACCCCGCCAGGACCGGAAGGUAGCAACGGUAAGUGAAAUGUUAUUGUUUAAAGUAAGCCUGGGUGUA